rnacentral:rRNA from 1 species
AUCGAACGCUGGCGGCAGGCUUAACACAUGCAAGUCGAGCGAGCGGCGGACGGGUGAGUAAUGUCUGGGAAACUGCCUGAUGGAGGGGGAUAACUACUGGAAAAGGUAGCUAAUACCGCAUAACAUCAGUUGUGCCCAGAUGGGAUUAGCUAGUAGGUGGGUUAAUGGCUCACCUAGGCGACGAUCCCUAGCUGGUGUGAGAGGAUGACAGGCCACACUGGAACGGAGACACGGUCCAGACUCCUAAGGGAGGCAGCAGUGGGGAAUAUUGCACAAGGGGCGCAAGCCUGAUGCAGCCAUGCCGCGUGUGUGAAGAAGGCCUUCGGGUUGUAAAGCACUUUCAGCGAGGAGGCGUUACUCGCAGAAGAAGCACCGGCUAACUCCGUGCCAGCAGCCGCGGUAAUAC